GUGAAAUGCGUGUGUCAAACGGGGCACUUCAGAACUAAACCAUUCUUUGUUUAAAGAAAUUGUAACUUAGAGAUGCAUUCAAAAAUAUGCAAAAACAGCCAUUUUGAAAUGCUCAAUUUUGAAGUCCCUUCUUUUUGUGCAAAUUCCCACAUUUUGUAUCAAGAGCCUUGAGUUUUGUCUAAACUCUUCAGGUUUUGCACGGACAAACAAAGCCUCUCAUUUUUGAGUAUGGAGCUCUAACUGUUCAAUACAUUUAAC